rnacentral:lncRNA from 1 species
GUUGGCAACGGGAGUGGCUUUAGCCCACAGACCACCCUAACAUCUUGCACUGUCUGGGGGCUCCCCGGGCUCAGGAACACCCACUUCUGUGGCCGGGAGCUGGGCUCAGCCACAUCCCUGCAACUUCUCCGGGACACCGCCAUCCAGCUACGCCGAGGCCUGACGGCGGCUCCAUGUUUCCUGCCAAUGGCCGUGCUAUUAACUUAUACAGAAAGCUCACAUUUGCCAUCACUGUUUCCCUCUCCUUUACAAAUCACUUCACCCUCUGACCAGACCCCCUCACAGUCACUUUCUAGAACUCAUUCUGGUGCCAGCUGUCUUUAUGGACAGAAAAUUACAUUUUGAAAUCAAAUCAAGUGUGUUCUAUUUUCCAUCCAAAUAAAUCUGGAGCACUGUC